AGGAAAACAUGCUGCAAAUUCGAAGAUGGUGGUGUCUUGUUCUCCUGCAGAACUUCCCCAUGCCAUCUGAAGAAUAGAGAUUGCAGCAAAGAAAAAGGCAACGAGAGCUGAAAAAACUACAGGAUGUGGCUGAAGUCCCCCUGAAAAAGUUGAGGCUUUCGGAAUCUGCCACUGACGCAUCAGAUGAGGCUGAGAACCUGCCAGGACUGGGAACAGGAGACGGGGAGAAUCGUUUGGUCAAUGAUGCAUUGAUGGCAGCCCGGUGGUGUGGCACCAGAACUUUCAAGGGAAAAAUUUCACUUCCCCAAGUUGUCACCAUGGCCAAGGAGGAACGCGUGAGGGCAGUGGAACUCCUGUGUGUCUGUGAUGGCCAGGAAGAAGAGGAGACCGCUGAUGUCAGAGAACCGUUCCUUUUUGUCUUCAGUCUGCAGGAAGACUACGAGACAUUCUGUCAAGAAAUUAUUGACAAGAGAAACAUGAAGGUGUUUGGUGCUUUUAAGAAAAAAGAAUAAUGUGUUCAACGGGGCUGAAGCUUAAUUCAUUACAUCUGACCUCUACAAAUGUACAUGGUUCGUGAGUUGUACAGACUCUGAUAUAUUAUGUCUGGCAUAAUCAUAUACGGAAGUCCCUAUACAGAGAUCAGAGAUUAUGUUUUUGUUUGUUAUGUAGAAUGAAGGCCAAACUAAGAGCCCUCUUUGAUAUGAGGAAAGACAUGUAACGUAGACUGUCAGUUCAGUCUUAUAUCCUUGAGUGGAUUAGUGACACUUUAAGAAAGUCGUUAGUGCAAAGUUUAGGAAAUCUGUGUUAUCAGCCAGUAAUAACCAUGGCAUGUUCAGGUAUCAAUGGCUUAGACAUUCCUGCUGUCUCUGAUCUCCUUAAUGUAGCUGAUAUGAUCCAGUGCACAAAAAAAUCCAAAUGUGUUUAUGUGGCAUUUAAAGCCAUGAGUGUGGACUGAGAACUGUUGUUUUGUGGGGCAGUAUCUAACUCUGACCAGUAGAGGGCGCGUUCGCUACAUGGUGUGUUCAUGGGUAGGGAUACUCUCGCGUGAUUACACCCCGAGAACGGGAACACGGAU